CCGCCAGGUCCAGGGCCGGGUCCACCAUCACCUGCUCGACCGGGCCAGGCGAGGAAUCCAUCAGCUCCGUGUACGGCACGGCGCGCGCCCCCGGCGGCAGCGGCGUGAUCAGCCGCUCGCGCUUCU
rnacentral:SRP_RNA from 1 species